CGUCUAUAUACGUAUAGCAUAUCAAUAAGCGGAGGAAAAGAAACUAACAAGGAUUCCCUUAGUAACGGCGAGUGAAGCGGGAAGAGCUCAAAUUUGAAAUCUUCAAGGUUCUACCUUGACGAAUUGUAGUUUAAAGAAGUGUUUUCUGUUAGAUUGAGUAGCAAAAGUUCCUUGGAAUAGGACAUCAUAGAGGGUGAGAAUCCCGUAUUUGGUCAUUCAUCCUAGCUUUGUGAUACACUUUCAAAGAGUCGGAUUGUUUGGGAAUGCAGUCCAAAAUGGGUGGUAAAUUUCAUCUAAAGCUAAAUAUUGGCGAGAGACCGAUAGCGAACAAGUACCGUGAGGGAAAGAUGAAAAGAACUUUGAAAAGAGAGUUAAACAGUACGUGAAAUUGUCAAAAGGGAAGCGUUUGACACCAGUGUUGUUUUUCCGAAAAUCAAUUAAGAAUGGCUUGAUUUUGUGUUGUAUUGACCUUAUCAGCUUUCUGCACUUUUUUCUAGUCUUUCUUAAUGCACUUUUCGGUUAACAAGUCAACAUCAAUUUCUUUUGUUGUAAAAGAGUCAUUCGGAAGGUGGCUUUCUUUUCGGAGAAAGUGUUUAUAGCCUUUGGCCUCUGCAAUCGGAGAGAUUGAGGUCUGCAGCGUAGAUCCUUCGGGGUUAGAUACACUUGUGCUAAGUUAUAGCCUUUCAUAGACAACUUGUUGACUAUGAUUCAGUCAUGUAGCUUACUCGCUUAUGCUAUUUUACCUACGCUUAGGAUGUUGACUGAUAUGUAGUCGUA
rnacentral:rRNA from 1 species